UACGGAGGGUGCGAGCGUUGUCCGGAAUCACUGGGCGUAAAGGGCGCGUAGGCGGCGCGAGCAGUCGGCGGUGAAAGCCCGGAGCUCAACUCCGGGUCGGCCGUCGAUACUCUCGUGCUUGAGCACUGUAGAGGCAGGUGGGAAUUCCGGGUGUAGCGGUGGAAUGCGUAGAGAUCCGGAAGAACACCGGUGGCGAAGGCGGCCUGCUGGGCAGUAGCUGACGCUGAUGCGCGACAGCGUGGGGAGCAAACAGG
rnacentral:rRNA from 1 species